rnacentral:misc_RNA from 1 species
GAUGAAGAACGCAGCGAAAUGCGAUAAGUAAUGUGAAUUGCAGAAUUCAGUGAAUCAUCGAAUCUUUGAACGCACAUUGCGCCCGCCAGUAUUCUGGCGGGCAUGCCUGUUCGAGCGUCAUUACAACCCUCAGGCCCCCGGGCCUGGCGUUGGGGAUCGGCGGAAGCCCCCUGCGGGCACAACGCCGUCCCCCAAAUACAGUGGCGGUCCCGCCGCAGCUUCCAUUGCGUAGUAGCUAACACCUCGCAACUGGAGAGCGGCGCGGCCACGCCGUAAAACGCCCAACUUCUGAAUGUUGACCUCGAAUCAGGUAGGAAUACCCGCUGAACUUAAGCAUAUCAAUAAGCGGAGGA